GGGGAUUUAGCUCAGCGUUAGAGCAUUUGCCUAGCAAGCGCAAGGCCCUGGGUUCGGUCCCCAGCUCCA
rnacentral:tRNA from 1 species